UACGACGACAUCAAGUUGAAACACCGGUUCCUGUACGAUCACCGAAGUUAAGCAACGUUGAAUCUGGUCAUUACCUAGGUGGGUGACAGCUUGCGAAUACCAGGUGCUGUAAG